GAGCGGAUGAAGAGAGCUUGCUCUCUGAUUCAGCGGCGGACGGGUGAGUAAUGCCUAGGAAUCUGCCUGGUAGUGGGGGACAACGUUUCGAAAGGAACGCUAAUACCGCAUACGUCCUACGGGAGAAAGCAGGGGACCUUCGGGCCUUGCGCUAUCAGAUGAGCCUAGGUCGGAUUAGCUAGUUGGUGAGGUAAUGGCUCACCAAGGCGACGAUCCGUAACUGGUAUGAGAGGAUGAUCAGUCACACUGGAACUGAGACACGGUCCAGACUCCUACGGGAGGCAGCAGUGGGGAAUAUUGGACAAUGGGCGAAAGCCUGAUCCAGCCAUGCCGCGUGUGUGAAGAAGGGACUUCGGAUUGUAAAGCACUUUAAGGUGGGAGGAAGGGCAGUAAGCUAAUACCUUGCUGUUUUGACGUUACCGCCAGAAUAAGCACCGGCUAACUAUGUG
rnacentral:rRNA from 1 species